rnacentral:rRNA from 1 species
UACGGAGGGUGCAAGCGUUAUCCGGAUUCACUGGGUUUAAAGGGUGCGUAGGAGGGCAGGUAAGUCCGUGGUGAAAUCUCUGAGCUUAACUCGGAAACUGCCAUGGAUACUAUCGGUCUUGAAUAUGGUGGAGGUCAGCGGAAUAUGUCAUGUAGCGGUGAAAUGCUUAGAUAUGACAUAGAACACCGAUUGCGAAGGCAGCUGCUACGCCUAUAUUGACUCUGAGGCACGAAAGCGUGGGGGAUCAAACAGG